UACGGGGGGGGCAAGCGUUGUUCGGAAUUACUGGGCGUAAAGGGCUCGUAGGUUGCCAACUAAGUCAGACGUGAAAUCCCUCGGCUUAACCGGGGAACUGCGUCUGAUACUGGAUGGCUUGAGUUCGGGAGAGGGAUGCGGAAUUCCAGGUGUAGCGGUGAAAUGCGUAGAUAUCUGGAGGAACACCGGUGGCGAAGGCGGCAUCCUGGACCGGACACUGACACUGAGG
rnacentral:rRNA from 1 species